GUGUGUGUGUUGCCUUAUUUUUCGUUGUACAUCUUUCGUUGUACAGAUGGUGAUGCAGUGUGUGUAUGUGUGUGUGUUGCCUUGUCUUUCGUUGUACAUAUGCUUAUGCAGUGUGUGUGUGUGUGUGUGUGUGUGUGUGUGUGUGUGUGUUGCCUUAUCUUUCGUUGUACAGAUGGUGAUGCAGUGUGUGUGUGUGUGUGUGUUGCCCUUUCUUUCAUUACACAUAUGGUGAUGGAGUGUGUGUGUGUGUGUGUGUGUGUGUUGCCUUAUCUUUCGUUGUACAGAUGGUGAUGCAGUGUGUGUGUGUGUGUGUGUGUGUUGCCCUUUCUUUCAUUACACAUAUGGUGAUGGAGUGUGUGUGUGUGUGUGUGUGUGUGUGUGUGUUGCCUUAUUUUUCGUUGUACAGAUGGUGAUGCAGUGUGUGUUGCUUUGUCUUUCGUUGUAUAUUGUUAUGUAGUGUGUGUGUGUGUGUGUGUGUGUGUGUGUGUUGCCUUAUCUUUUAUUGUACAGAUGGUGAUGCAGUGUGUGUGUGUGUUGCCUUGUCUUUCGUUGUACAUAUGCUUAUGCAGUGUGUGUGUGUGUGUGUGUGUGUGUGUGUGUGUGUGUGUGUGAGUUGCCCUUUCUUUCAUUACACAUAUAGUGAUGGAGUGUGUGUGUGUGUGUGUGUGUGUGUUGCCCUUUCUUUCAUUACACAUAUGGUGAUGGUGUGUGUGUGUGUGUGUGUAUGUAUAUUGCUCUGCCCUUUAGGGUACAGAUGGUGAUGAAAUAUAAAUUAAACAUAAGCACAUAACAAACAAUAAAAAAAAAAAGACAAAAAAAACAUUAUAUCAACUCAGUCUACCUGCCUCACCCCACACCCCAGCCUACUCCAGGUGAGAGAUGGGGAGGAGGAUUUAAAAGGACAUGUUUGCAGUGCACUGUCAGCCCUCACCUGCGCCACCUCCCCCAGUGAGCGGGUGUAGGCCUGGGAAUAGAACAUAUGCAGAUGUCUUGGCUGUGCUGUGUAUGUCUGUUUGUCGAUGGUCAAGAAGGAACGUAGCAAAAGUUUAAGGACCGUGGUGGGAAGAAAAUUCAGAAGCAGAUAAUGAUUGGUGGCAACAGAAGCUGUAGCAGUGCUGCAACACCCCACCAAGCAUAGGAUCACCAGGAGCUGCAUCUACAUCCACAUUGUCAAUCAAUCCAUUCUGUUCAGCAAGUAUACCAGCAGAUCAUCUUGUGCUGAAAAUAGUUUUGAAGAACUUCACUGAACAGCACAGACAUGCACUGGCUGCUUACCUUUCUAUAAUCUUCAUUUGCUCUCAUGUUCUCCAAGCUUUCAUAUCCUGUGUUUGCAUCCUUAACUACCUUUCUUCCCUAGAUCUCUUGCUCACAAUUCUCUUCCAUUUCACUGUUUUUAUAUUUAGUGAUGUAUAUACACAGUUUAUCCAUGCAUAAAGUUGACAAAAAGAAUUCAAAAUGCUUUCUCUACAGCCUCUUAUCACUCCUCCUCAACACCAGUAAAUGCAGCAUCAUGAGAAAAGGAGCAGCAUAAUCCAAAUUUAAUAGGGAAAACAAGCAACAAUUCAGAACUACAUGACCCUGGUAAUGUUCAAACAAAUACCCUUUCACUUACCUUUUGCAUUUAUAUAUCUUGCUACCUUCUAUUGUUACUGUGCUGUUGUAUUCUAGUAAAUUGUCCAAAAUCUCCUUUGAAGUGAGGUUGGCAAGACAUCUGCACUUACAGGUUCACAAGCAUUCGAGCCUUCACGACAUAGCAAGGAAGGACUUAAUGAGGAAUUCUAUUCAUACACACACACACACACAGUCAAGUCAUAUAAGUUCUCUCUGUUUCCUUCUUCCCCCCUCUCUGUCCUUCCCUCUCUUGGUCUCCCACUGUUCUCCCUCUCCCCAUCCUCAACAACACACACAUGCAUACAGUAAUCUCUCUCUCUCUCUCUCUCUCUCUCUCUCUCUCUCUCUCUCUCUCUCUCUCUCUCUCUCUCUCUCUCUCUCUCUCUCUCUCUCUCUCUCUCUCU